rnacentral:rRNA from 1 species
CCUACGGGGGGCAGCAGUGAGGAAUAUUGGUCAAUGGACGAGAGUCUGAACCAGCCAAGUAGCGUGAAGGAUGACUGCCCUAUGGGUUGUAAACUUCUUUUAUAUGGGAAUAAAAUGUUCCACGUGUGGGAUUUUGUAUGUACCAUAUGAAUAAGGAUCGGCUAACUCCGUGCCAGCAGCCGCGGUAAUACGGAGGAUCCGAGCGUUAUCCGGAUUUAUUGGGUUUAAAGGGAGCGUAGGUGGGUUGUUAAGUCAGUUGUGAAAGUUUGCGGCUCAACCGUAAAAUUGCAGUUGAAACUGACAGUCUUGAGUACAGUAGAGGUGGGCGGAAUUCGUGGUGUAGCGGUGAAAUGCUUAGAUAUCACGAAGAACUCCGAUUGCGAAGGCAGUUCACUGGACUGCAACUGACACUGAGGCUCGAAAGUGUGAGUAUCAAACAGGAUUAGAUACCCCUGUAGUC